UACGGGGGGGGCAAGCGUUGUUCGGAAUUACUGGGCGUAAAGGGCUCGUAGGUGGCCAACUAAGUCGGACGUGAAAUCCCCUCAGCUUAACUGGGGAACUGCGUCCGAUACUGGAUGGCUUGAGUUUGGGAGAGGGAUGCGGAAUUCCAGGUGUAGCGGUGAAAUGCGUAGAUAUCUGGAGGAACACCGGUGGCGAAGGCGGCAUCCUGGACCAACACUGACACUGAGGAGCGAAAGCCAGGGGAGCAAACGGG
rnacentral:rRNA from 1 species